GUGGAAUGAUGACAGGUAGAAGCGGAGUAACCCGGUCCGGAGCCCUGGUAAUGAGAUCCUCGGCACCUUUGCGUGCCAAGAACUCGUGCGGAUGUUGAGUCUCGCAAAGUCCGUCCAGAAAGAGAGGCAGUCGAUAGAGACGACUUUCGUGGACGAUGCAGACGGGCAGAUCGCCUCUUUGGUAAAUCCGCCGGAAGGCCAGUGAAGGGCUAGGUCGUUCGGCAAAAACGUUGACCCUUUUCGGAGGCUGGACGCGGCUCUGCGAUGCCGAACGGAUGGUAAACGCUGGAACAACAGUUGAACUGGAUUGCCUAGCCGAACGUAUUUGAUGCGGCUGGCCGCGACGGGCGCUCCUUCCAUCGCUCCCGCUACUCGAACGGCUCGAUCCUGAUUCCUGCUGAUAUUGCUGCUGGCCGGCCUGGCGCAUCGUCAAAGACUGGCCAUCGUUUCGGUCAAACAUCUUCUCUUAUAACACACACAAUCACAAAGUAGAAGAAGAAAUGUCCUGGACGCAAAAAAAAAAACAGUCCAGCUCUUGGGCCGCUCGUUCAAGACAUGCGACUGAGUGGUGGUCGUCAAAGAGAUUACAAAAAAAAAGGGCAUCCAACGGGACUGCUUGAUCGAUACUCCUUGGUUCACCCUGGACUUUAAUCACGACACGAUCCGUCUCGCGAUGGAGGGUGGUUAUGGGAACGUUAGUGCGCAACCGCUUCAAGACGGAACCCGUCAGCCACAUUCAGAGGGAGCCGAAAAAUAAAGGGCGCGGCCGUUCCCGUUUGAAAUAGUGUCGUCUGCACGCACCCUCCGAGUACCGUGCACGCAAACGGACGUCCAUCAGGAGUUUCUGCACGACAAUAGUACGAGUUUCAUGUGACGGCCGAAAUCACGAGGCUUGCUUCCGUCCCGCCUUCCAACUACCCUUUCGACACGCCAUUUACUUGUCAAGAGAUUUCAAUCAACCUCAAGGAGUAGUUUUAUUUCACUAAUGUAUUGAUCUUGGUACAGAUCUUUAUUGGUUAUUCAGUUUUGUCUUGUGUGAAAUGUUAACAAUCAAAGCUGUGACAGAGA